CAUAUGCUUGGACCAUCUCUGCAACCAUGUUUUAGUGGAGAUUGGAGUUGAACCAGUGGAGAUCAGCCGGAGCUGCAACGCUGCCUUCAAGCUCCUACAAACCUCUUAGUCAUCGAUUUUGGGUAAACCCAAUCAUCUUCAUUCAAUUCAUCUCUCAAUUUAUUCAUUCGUUUCAUCUCUCAAUCACCUAAUUCAAUUUCUCUUUUCUGCAUCAACAUCACCACGUCGCCGCCAUGCCUCACCGUCGGAAACUCUCUUCCAGGCGAGGCUUCUUAGCUUCUGUGACAUGUUUGGAUUGCUAGUGUGACCUGGCCGGCGAGCCGAUCCUGUCUUCUGCAUGACAUGGUAGCCGCAUGGAGACUCUGAGGUGCGCUUGGAAUGCAGCAACUCGUUUUUCAAGGCAAAGAACUCAACCAUCAUCGAUACAGCUUUCGGCAGUUCAACGAGAAAAGGUGUUACAAUUUACAAGAGAUGUUCGAUCCUUGGAGCAGCAGUAAGAUUAGAGCGGGAACUUAUGUUUUAGACUCGGGAUUUAUGCACGUCAUUCCAGUUUCAGAGAAAAUGAUGGACAAGCUAGGAGCCCAUGUGGUGUCUUGCCCAAGAUAUGGUCAGGUCAUUAGACUUGUGACGGUACUAAUUACGAUUCAAACAAGGAACCAAAUCCAUUAGAGAGAAAAAGACAUGUAGAUUAGUGGGCUAUAUUGCACGGUAUACUUUUGUUGCAGACCCAACUGAAAGAAGAGUAGAUGGAUUUGGAAUUGUAGGUUAGGCCUGUGGGCUUCUUCUGGUUACCAAUUAAAGACCACCAUCGCGUUGACGGUCAAACAAAUUAAACUAAUCAGUUCGAUCGAGACUAAUGCAAUCCUAGAUUCAGUAGAUUGCAAUACUGUUAAGCAACAAAUCUCUUGCCAACCCAUUUUUUACCUUAAUUCAAGUAAAGAACCAUAUUCUAUUCGUUUUCAUAGAGAGAAAGAGAGAAAGAGAGGUGUGGCCAACUAAUAUGAAGGAAGAUGAGCACAAUUAGGCAUGUGAUCGGUUAUAAAAUAAUGAUUUUUUCUUCUUCUCUAGAAUCAGAAAAGAAAAAUUGAUCUGGAUUUAUCACAAAUUUUUUUCAAAACCAAAAGGAACUGGAACUGGUAAAUAUUGGGUUUUUACUAUUUCAAAAAUUCAUUGUAACAUCAAUUUACUUCCAAGCCAUAA